rnacentral:lncRNA from 1 species
ACACAAAUAUUCCUAAUUUAUUUUACUAGUUAAACAAACAAUUUAAACAUCAAGAAGUUCAGUAAUAAAACCUGAACUAUUGAAGAAUUCUGUCGUCGAUCUACUCUUUAUGUAGUCAACCACCUAAAUAAAGCCCCUGCAAAAUCAAAUCAUAAAAUAAAAAUAACCCAUGAAGUGCUUGAUGAAGAAAUAAAUAAAAAGUAUGAAAGCAAAAGAAAUGAAAAACUUACUGUGAGAUGAAGAGAACAAAAAGAUUGUUGAUGAAGAGUAGAAAAUGAUUGAAGAUUGUAGAAUGAAGAUGAAGAUUGCGGGUUGAAGAUGAAGAGAAUAAAAAGAUUGUUGAUGAAGAAUAGAAAAUGAUUGAAGAUUGUAGAAUGAAGAUGAAGAAGAGAAUGAAAUCUGAAACUAGAAAACUUUUGGCAAAAAAGUAAUAAACUAUUAAAUUUCUGUCGGUUUUAACCGACAGAAAACUUAAAUAAUAACGGCUAGAAUACUAAAAUGAUAAAGUAGUAAAUUUCUGUUGGUUAUAAUCGACACCAUGAACUUCAAAACCACCAAAAUAUAAAAAAAAAUAUUUCAAAAUUCCUGGCGGUUAUAAAAAAUUUGUGUCAGUUUAAUCCGACAGUAAAUAUCCGACAGUAAUUCUGUUGGUUAUAAGCGACAGAAAUUUACUUUUAUCCGACACUAAAUAAAUUAUGUGUCGGAUAUCUUUUAUUCGACAGAAUGACUCGUUAACCGCCACCACCAUCCGACACUUAAAGCUAAUAUUGUAGUAGUGUUAAUUAUUAGAUUGUCGUCACGUCUUCUACUAUAAAUACAUAAUGAAAUUACACAAUAAAUACAAAAAUUAAAAUGAUACUAACUCGAAUGAAUCAAAGGUAGAGGCUAGCGCAAAAGUUAUGUCCUUCAAACAGUAUUUUCGUCCCAUUCUUGUGCUUGUGGUUCUACAACGUCUGCUUGACCUAAAUACAACUACCCAAUUUUACAACCUGCACUAGAUUAUAGAAUUCUAGCAAAUUGCUUUGUGUGUUUACUCUCUGGGAAUUUUGUACGGAAGAAAGAAAAGAUGAUUUCUGAUGGAAUUGAGGACUCUAGUUAUAUAGACUCUUUCAUACAUCUUCAAAUACCUUUUGGAUGUAUAUGAAGCUAUACAACUUUUUCCAAAGAGUUGUGUCUAUUAAUCAAAAUAUUUUUAAUUAAUUUAAUUUAAAACUUAAUUCGAAAUUAAAACUAAUUGAUCAGAUUAAUUUUUAAUUCUUAGGCCCUAAGUGCCCCAAGCCUUGUCUUGAUUAAUUAAUGACUCAAGCCUCAAUCCCCAUUCUAAAUGGUUCAACACCUAAUCACUAAUAAAAAAGACAAAAGUAAUAUAAGGACCUCAAGUUCCCUUGAGUUCCCUGAUGUGGGACUUAAAGGAGCUCAAAACUCCAACAAACUGAACUUCCUGUUCGCAGACCGUUAAUUAAUAACUCUAGUAAUAUGCAGAUUUACCUGGUUUGAGUUGUCCCUGCCGUCUUGCAGCAUGAUG